rnacentral:rRNA from 1 species
AAUAUUGGACAAAGGGGGCAACCCUGAUCCAGCCAUGCCGCGUGUUUGAAGAAGGUCUUCGGGUUGUAAAGCCUUUUAAGUUGGGAGGAAUGGCUCUAGGUUAAUACUCGGAAGUUCUGACGGUACCAACAGAGUAAGCACCGUCUAACUCUGUGCCAGCAGCCGCGGUCAUACAGAGGGUGCAAGCGUUAAUCGGAAUUACUGUGCGGAAAGCGCGGGUAGGUGGUUCAGUAAGAUGGGUGUGAAAUCCCCGGGCUUAACCUGGGGACUGCUUUCAUAGCUGCUGGGCGAGAGUACGGUAGAGGGUAGUGGAAUUACCUGUGUAGCGGUGAAAUGCGUAGAUAUAGGAAGGAACACCAGUGGCGAAGGCGACCACCUGGACUGAUACUGACACUGAGGUGCGAAAGCGUGGGGAGCAAAC